AAUCUCAAUCCCAUCGGGUUUUUGACCUGGUGGGGCUUGGACUUGGGCGCUGCCAUAUUGCUUGGCUCGCCUUAAAUGGAUGAGUGAGAAUAGCACUUGUGAUUAGACGUAAUAAGUUUCGUCUUGUCCUGUGUGAGGCUUGCUUCUAACAACCAACCUUUUAUGA
rnacentral:misc_RNA from 1 species